rnacentral:rRNA from 1 species
GCCAUUCUCAAGAUCUUUGGUAAUGCUUUUGGUCUGUUCACUAAUAUCAGCAAAACGGUGGCUUAUCCCAUCACUUGUCAUGGAAUUGAGCUGGAUCCCAUGCUGGCUAUUUUUGGUGGGAUACAAGGGACUCUCCCAUGUAAAUAUUUGGGACUGCCUCUAGGUGUCAGGAAGCCCAGGAGAGCCGAGGUGCAGCCGGUGCUGGAUAAGAUGGCGGGAAAGCUAUCGCCUAGGAAAGGCAGAUUGCUAAACAUGAUGGGGAGGCUGGUUUACAUCAACUCAGUGGUCACUAACAUUGCCAUUUAUUUCAUAACAGCCUAA